GACUCUACAAACUGAUACGCUGAUUCACAGGGAUCUAAAAUAGAUUAUCCUUUUUUUGCAGCUGAAAUUCAGACCUGAAGGUCCACAGAAUCUCUCAGGUGGUAUUCCAGACCUGCAAGAUUUAAAUUUCCAAACUGAAGACCAGAGAUCAAGUUUUGUAUUAUAACUCUCUAGUGAUAAGCACCUCAGGAAUGAGUUUACCUGUCAGAACUGCUUCUCUUCUUGGGAAAAGAGGAGUCCAAGAGUACCACUUCAACUUUUUGCAGAUCUUAGCCUUUUUGUAUUCAACACAUAAAUAAGUUAAUCAAAAUCACAGCUCAGGCAAUUGUCUUAAAUUCCA